GACUUCUCAUUCUAUUAGUUCCCAUGGGAACUGAUUGUUACAAACAGCCUGGCACUUCUCUCCUCUCUCUCUCUCUCUCUCUCUCUCUCUCUCUCUCGCUUCCUCUGUUUUUGUGUGAUCUCUGCACAUGAGUAGAAGCAUCCUGAAUCCCUCACCAGAUGCCCAGUGAUCCAGCCAGCAGAAUUGUGAGCCAAGAUUUGUUACUUGAUCUCCAUGUGUAUAUGCAAAUAUUUGCCUGUAUUUAUUGUCAUCAUCAUACUUUGGGCACUGGCCAUGCUACCUCUGUGAGGAAAGAAGGGAAAGGAAAGGAAAAAUAAGAAAAGAAGAAAACAUCCAUGGUCUCACUCUGUCACCAGGCUGGAAUGACAGACUGAUAGGCAGACUCACAUAGCCUUCUUGCCUUUCCCUGAGGAGUUGACUCCAAUUGUCCUACACAUUCCUUCUCUAUGAUAUAGAAGCCCUGGGUCUCAGCGGUAAUGGCCUGGGAUUCACCAUCUCCUCUUGUGGCCACCUGAGACAUGGCUUCUGUUCCUAAGCCCCUAUUAAAUGUUCCUUUCAG
rnacentral:lncRNA from 1 species